rnacentral:misc_RNA from 1 species
AACACCUCAAAGCUUUUGGAUUUUUUAAUCGAAAAGAUUUGGACUUGAGCAAUCCCAACACCAAUCUUUUUCAGAUCGGCGGCGGGCUGCUUGAAAUGCAGGUGCAGCUGGACAUUCUCCUGAGCUAAAAGCAUAUUUAUUUAGUCCCGUCAAACGGAUUAUUACUUUUGCUGCAGCUAAUGUAAAGGGAGUUUGGCCGUAUUAGCUGACUGAUGCAGGAUUUCACAAGGGUCGGCAACGAUUCUUGUAAA